CAGGGGGGACGCAGGAGGGUAGGUGAUCCCAGGCGUUGGUUGUCCUGGGGUAAGUAUGUAGGAGAGGGACCAGGCAAAUCCGGGCCCUAUUAACUCCGAGAUACGAUGCCGAGCCGAUUCAGGCGAAGUCACUGAUCCCAUGCUGCCUAGAAAAUCCUCUAGCGAGCUGGCACGGUGCCCGUACCCCAAACCAACUCAGGUGGGCAGGUAGAGAAUACCAAGGCGAUCGGGAGAACUGUGGUUAAGGAACUCGGCAAAAUACAUCCGUAACUUCGGGAGAAGGAUGGCCCCCUUAGGGUGACGCACUUCGCGUGCUGAGCUCGAAGGGGUCGCAGAGACCAGGGGAAAGCGACUGUUUACUAAAAACACAGGAGCGUGCGAAGCCGUAAGGCGCUGUAUACGCUCUGACGCCUGCCCGGUGCUGGAAGGUUACGGGGAAUGGUUAGCCCGCAAGGGCGAAGCUAUGAACCUAAGCCCCAGUAAACGGCGGCCGUAACUAUAACGGUCCUAAGGUAGCGAAAUUCCUUGUCGGGUAAGUUCCGACCUGCACGAAUGGCGUAACGACUUUCCUACUGUCUCAACCACAGACCCGGCGAAAUUGAAGUACGAGUAAAGAUGCUCGUUAGCUGCAUCAGGACGGAAAGACCCCGUGCACCUUUACUAUAGUUUGAUGUUGGGUUUUGGUACUGUUUGUGUAGGAUAGGUGGGAGCCUUGGAAGCUGUGGCGCCAGCCAUGGUGGAGGCAACCUUGAAAUACCACCCUUGCAGUGCUGGGACUCUAACUUUGGUCCGUAAUCCGGAUCGGGGACAGCGUCAGAUGGGUAGUUUGACUGGGGCGGUCGCCUCCUAAAGAGUAACGGAGGCGCCCAAAGGUUCCCUCAGGCUGGUUGGCAAUCAGCCGUUGAGUGCAAUGGCACAAGGAAGCUUGACUGCGAGACAGACAUGUCGAGCAGGUGCGAAAGCAGGGCAUAGUGAUCCGGCGGUUGCGUGUGGAAGCGCCGUCGCUCAACGGACAAAAGGUACGCCGGGGAUAACAGGCUCAUCUUCCCCAAGAGUCCAUAUCGACGGGAAGGUUUGGCACCUCGAUGUCGGCUCGUCGCAUCCUGGGGCCGUAGCCGGUCCCAAGGGUUGGGCUGUUCGCCCAUUAAAGCGGUACGCGAGCUGGGUUUAGAACGUCGUGAGACAGUUCGGUCCCUAUCCGAUGCAGCCGUAGGAAACCUGAGGAAGGCUGUCCCUAGUACGAGAGGACCGGGACGGACGCAGCUCUCGUGUGUCAGUUGUCCUGCCAAGGGCACCGCUGAUUUGCGACCUGCGGAAGGGAUAAGCGCUGAAAGCAUCUAAGUGCGAAGCUCGUUCCAAGAUGAGGUUUCCCACAGGGUUAACCUGGUAAGGCCCGUGGUUAGACGACCACGUUGAUAGGCCGGAGGUGUAAGCACAGCAAUGUGUUCAGCCGACCGGUACUAAUCGGCCAAGGGCUUGGGACA
rnacentral:rRNA from 1 species